rnacentral:rRNA from 2 species
UACAGAGGGUGCAAGCGUUAAUCGGAAUUACUGGGCGUAAAGGGCGCGUAGGCGGUGAGAUGUGUGUGAUGUGAAAGCCCUGGGCUUAACCUAGGAAGUGCAUCGCAAACUGUCUUGCUGGAGUAUAUGAGAGGGUGGCGGAAUUUCCGGUGUAGCGGUGAAAUGCGUAGAGAUCGGAAGGAACGUCGAUGGCGAAGGCAGCCACCUGGCAUAAUACUGACGCUGAGGCGCGAAAGCGUGGGGAGCGAACAGG